CUGGCAGCCAGGGCUGCUGCCUCUAUGACAUGGAUGCCUCCCCCUGCUGCUGCUGCUCACCCAAGAGGCAGGUUGCCAUGGAGGAAUGAAAGACAUGGAGAAGAGGUGCCAGCUCUCUGGGGUCCCGUGUCUGCCAGCUGUUGCUAAAUACCUCUAAGAACUUCUGCUUCCAGAGCCGUCUGUCCCAGGAACCUCAGAACCUGGGACAAGAACUCACUGAAGGGUCGGUCCCCUGGGGGAGAUGAAUUGGACCAACUUUAGGUUCCAGGACUCCAGAACCAGCAACACCUCCCUAUACAAGCCCACCCUGUUGCUCAGCUCAGAGGAUGUCACCACCAUGGGGCCAGAGACUAAGUCCGUAGUUCUUGGCAGCACAGAAACCACCGCCCUUUCUGGGUGCAUUGGUGUUGUGGUCCUCGUCUUGCUCCUGGUGAUUCUGUUGUCCGUGACCUUGAGGAAAUGGAGGCACGAGAGACUAUUUAAGAAACAACUGAGGUAUCAGACCAAUUUCUUCCACAAAUCCUCGGACAUUUCCUAUCAAGCUGAAGUCAUAUAUUCCAACGUGAUCAACCUGGCCCCCCGGAAAGAGGAUGACUUCGCUGUCUACGCCAACGUGCCCUGUUUCGAUCGCCCCAGGAGAACGUCACCAGACCAAGUGCAAUAUGCCUCCAUCAUAUUCCACUGAUCUGGGGGCCCAUGAGCUGCUCAGGGUGG
rnacentral:lncRNA from 1 species